rnacentral:rRNA from 1 species
CCUACGGGUGACAGCAGUGAGGAAUAUUGGUCAAUGGUCGGGAGACUGAACCAGCCAAGCCGCGUGAGGGAGGAAGGUACAGAGUAUCGUAAACCUCUUUUGUCAGGGAACAAAGGCGGGGACGUGUCCCCGGAUGAGUGUACCUGAAGAAAAAGCAUAGGCUAACUCCGUGCCAGCAGCCGCGGUAAUACGGAGGAUGCGAGCGUUAUCCGGAUUUAUUGGGUUUAAAGGGUGCGCAGGCGGUCUGUUAAGUCAGCGGUGAAAGCCCGGGGCUAAACCCGGGCCCGCCGUUGAAACUGGCAGUCUCGAGUUGGAGAGAAGUAUGCGGAAUGCGCGGUGUAGCGGUGAAAUGCAUAGAGAUCGCGCAGAACUCCGAUUGCGAAGGCAGCAUGCCGGCUCCACACUGACGCUGAGGCACGAAAGCGUGGGUAUCGAACAGGAUUAGAUACCCUAGUAGUC